rnacentral:lncRNA from 7 species
GGGUGUGUGCCCUUUUGCUCGCUGGGAGGCUGGCAGUAAAUCAUGUGUUGGCUUUUUUUCCAUUUUACGUCCAGGAGCAGCUACUUUGAUUAGUUUGAAGCAGAAUAAAAGACCUAUAAAUGGGGAGAAUCCUGAAGAUGUCCUGGGAGAGGGGAAUUCGUGCCCUUAGAAUAGCUGCGUGGAUGAAACAGAGGAUGAAAAAGCUUGAACACAAAUGUCUUGAUAAUAAACACAAAUGUGUUUAUUGCCAUCUAUUAAAGGAUUUUCAAACCAUCCACUUGCAGAAAUUUGCAUUUUAUGAGGAAGAAGUUACAAAAUAUGAUGAGAUCAUUUUAGUGGGAUUUCUGCAAUUACAGUAAGAUGCUGCCAAGGAAGAAUAUGUGGAAUACAAGUGAAUGCAGUGCUGAUGAGGGUCCUGAAGUCCCACAAGAGGAAGAAUGUUGGAUGCAAAAUGAUUUUUGAAGUUUUGAAGCAGCAUUGACUGCUGCUUUAUACUGUGUGCAACUUCAGACAGCAGCAGCAUUACUGGGCGAGUCCCUCCAACCGCAGGGAAUUGGCACCCUAUUAAACCUCACUUUCAGCAGAGCUGAACUGGAAAUAUGUUACAGCACAGCCCUGUUUUUAUCUCCUGACAAGCGGUGAUCAGAACCAUGUUGCCGCAGCCAGGCAGGGUUCUCCCCUUGUCUGUUUACACUCUCCUGCACUGAAUCCUUCAUCUGGUCUCAUCCACCCGCUGAUGUCCCCCUCGUUCCUCUCACAACAGGCUUGCUUUGGUUUUGGCUUUUGUCCCAGGGAAAAGCAGCGUUGCCAAGUCUCUCUGUGCUGAGCUCCUUCCCGUGCUCUGCUGUUGCAGCCUCAGCAUCUCACAUCUAUUGCAGCAGUGCUUCUGCCUCUCUGCUCCAGCCACGUGGGUGCUGCUGGCAGAGCAGCCCUGGGCAGCAGCACAGGUGGGCAUGGCACGGGGUGGGUGUCUGUGCGCUAAGGAUCUGUCCCUGUCACCUGCUCUUAGAAGGGCUGGUUGCGUGGCCUGACUGCAGUGGGGUCACCCAUCAGCUUGGUGUCACUGCCCCUGAAAUGAAUUGCUGGGGAAAGGUGGUGGUGCUUUCAGAGGGGUGGACUUGGACUGUGGCCUUUGACUGCGACCAUUGCAUGGUGGCAUCGUCUGUUCUGAGCAGCAGUGUGCACACACGCUGGGUGCCCAUGCGUGGCUGUAGUUCCCAAAGAUCAAACCGCAGUCUGUGCUGACAGGAGACACAAAGUCAAUUAAUGGGACUUUGUGCUGCCGUAAAUUCUCUCAUCGUGUCAUCUUCUCAUUCAGGCAAGAAACAUGUGAGAAUCAUGCGGACGCAGAAGCAGAGCCUCACAGCAGGACUGGGGGUCUCCUGCUCACCCUGCUGGUGCUUUGUUGGGGCAGUGUCCCCAAAUUGCCCUGCUCUGCAGCUCUGGAAAGCAAGCUUCUAAUUGGGAGCUCUGUGAUUUGCCUUUAAAUAGUAGAAGUUGAGCCACUGGUGUGACUGAGGCAGGACACUGAAGCAAAGUGCUCAGCGGGCAGAGCCAUCCAUCCCUGGUGGGCGAGAAAUGAGCGCUGCUGGUGGCAGCCAGAGGAGUGCUGGGGCACUGCUGAGCGGGAGCGAUCUGGGUGAGUAUCUGCAUACAGUGAUUAAAAUAGAUCAAGAAAGUGUGUCUGGGGCCUCUUCCAAAGCUAACUGAAGCCUGUGGGAAAGAGUCUUUCUCUCAGAAUUCUAUGGCAUUGGAUCCAAACCCUGGAAAUACAUCACAGGAUAAUUUGGUUUAGUGGAAGGAGUGGAGAGAUCUAACAAACGGGCAGUUGGGAGCGCGGUGGGGUUUGAGGUGAUGCAGUGAGUGCCUGGCUCACCCAGACCCACCGCUCGGUAAUGUUAAUCCGUCUCUGUGGGCAUCUCUUCCCAGUACGGACAGCAGUGACCGAGAAAUCUCUCUCCCUCACUUCUAUCAGUGUGUCAGCUGCAUUCUCCCCUGCUCUUUCUCUGUGUCUGCAACACACAGAGCACCUGCGACGUCAGCUGGGGUCCCUGUGCUGCUUCAUAACACACCAUAAGGAAAAAAUGUCACAGAUGAAGGCCAGGCAGGCCUCAUUACUGUGACGGUGUAUCAGAUGCCACCAGAGCAAGGGGAACAAACAAGCUUUGUACGGAAUCAGUCUGUUGCAUACCCGCCUCAUUUUUAUGAAUAAUGGGUACGUUCUCAUAGUGUAGCAUGGUAAUUACCUUUUUUUAACUUACUAUAAAGGCUGAAGUAUGUCUGC